UACGAAGGGGGCUAGCGUUGUUCGGAAUUACUGGGCGUAAAGCGCACGUAGGCGGCGCAGCAAGUUAGAUGUGAAAUGCCUGGGCUUAACCUAGGAACUGCAUUUAAGACUACUGUGCUAGAGACCGGGAGAGGGUGGCGGAAUUCCCAGUGUAGAGGUGAAAUUCGUAGAUAUUGGGAAGAACACCGGUUGCGAAGGCGGCCACCUGGACCGGCACUGACGCUGAGGUGCGAAAGCCAGGGGAGCAAACGGG
rnacentral:rRNA from 1 species